rnacentral:lncRNA from 1 species
UUCAUGUAAUCAAUCAUAAGUGCAUUUGAGACAAAUGCUCCCUUGUGGAAACCCAAUUGUUUGGACUCACUUCUACUUAAAACUUUCACUUCUAACAAACAUGGUAAGGUUGGAUUUCAUAGAAAUUUUAAUUUUAAUGCAAUACGUAACGAAAACAUCAUGCACGAUGAGGUAAAAGUUUGAUCGAAAAAUAGUACCAUACUUCCAAGGAAAUACAAACUUCAAUUCAAGUUAUAUGUUUUCGUAAGUUUUUGAUGAAUAGAGGAGAAGUUAUUUUACUUAUACAUCAAAUACAUAAAUUAAUGUAUACAUUUUCUACUUGAUGUAAUUAGAAAUUUUACUAAUCCUACUUUAGAUCAUCUUCCACAUGGCAAGUACAAUUCCCCAAAGUUGUAAAUACCCUACAUGUCAACAUAUGUCAGUAUCUAUAAAUUUUUAUGUACUGUUUUAAUUUAUGUUCUGUUCUAUGCCACUCUAGGUUUGCCUCUAUGUAUUUUGGCUUCUUUGCGGUUUACAAUAAUGAAAACUUUCCCUUAGAAUUAUUUAUGGUGCAAGAAAAUUUAUGAGUAAACCUGCUUACACAAGGAUAAACAGGGAUAAAGGGACAAAAAAAUGUUACCUUUCUUCCGUAGUCCUUAAACCGAGAAAGUUCCUGAAAUUUGGAAAAAAAAAAACGAAAUAGAAAUAAGAAGAUUUUCUUUCGAAAUCUGUACAUGAAAAAGAUAGUAAAAGUUUAGAAACCAUCCACAAGAAGCUUUAUACAAUUUAUGAACUGUGAAGUAAAGCCAAACUAGUGAACAGUUCUGCCAUCUCUCUCUAAUUUUCAUAUGAAAGGUAAAGAAAGGAAAUUGGUGGCACAUUAAACUGUUGUAAUAUGUCAAGUUGCUUUCAUAUUUGCACCAAACUCUUGUGGUGACCCUAACAAUGGAGAUCUGAUUAGUGCAAGAAAAAAGCCAUGGCUCCUCAUGAAACUUCUGCCUUGGUGGGUCUUGAAAAAUAAAAGAAAGCACCACUGCAAUUUGCAAUUUGCAAUGGAAUUGGCUUACAUCCAAGGACAAAGACAGUUCAGAAGGACUACCCAAUAAAGACAGCACCACUCACUCAACGGGACCACUUCUUAAUCAUGUGUUAAAGACUGUUUUUAAGCAAAUCAACUACCAGAUACAAUGACUUCCAUUGAUGAAACAAGGUCAUGUAAAUUAGAGAGAGCUUAUCUGUUUUAAGAAUGGAGUUUUGCCUCUUCGAUGUGAAGUCAAUUGCUUGUUACUGCUCAAUGGACAUUGCCAUCCGAGCUUGGUUCUUCACGUAGACGCUUCCCUUCUAAGUAAAAUGCAACAUGUUACCUUCUAAAAUGCUGCUUGUCGUGGCUGAUAUUCAAUUUUCACUACUAAAAAAGUAAGAUAAGCAGAGGAUACUGGAAUUAGAUAUUCAGCAGUAGAGGAUUACACAUUACAAAAGAAUACACAGAUAUGACAGAGAGGCACUAUUUACAUGANNNNNAACUUGAUCCAUGGAUUAAGAAAGAUAUUUUCUCUCUCUUCAUUAUUUGUUAGUUGCUGCUACGAUACACAUUAGCAAUUCCAAGCAUUAACGACUAAAACACCACGAUCACAGGUUAACAUGAUCCACUCCUACUCUAUGAUUUAUAGGUGCCUUGUCACAUAAAUAGUUUAAUGCCUUGGGGAGAAAAUCUAAGAAUCUAUACAACUUUAAACUUUACUGCUUUUAUUAGAUUAUCCGACCUAAUGCUAGUUAUAUUCUAAAAGAAUUCUUUUCCUUUUUAUUUGCUAGCAACAAAACUAUCUUAUUUAGAACGGUAAAAGGACACCUUAUCUUCCUUUCAAGUCUCAACUGAAGAUAAACAUCUCAACCAGCACAAUCACAUCACCAAAUUUCUUGGGACUACUCUGGAUUUUGACAGAAAGAAUAAAUACAAAUCUUCAGAACAAUAACCGUAUCAAAAUUCCCACAGCAACAGUAACGAUGAUUAAUGCAGUUCCUAGUCUUCACGACAUUCUAGCUUAUAAAGAACUUUUUAGUUAAUAAUAUGUUACUUUCUUUCAUAAUAGUUCUCAAUUGUUCACCAUGUGAAGACAAGUAAUUUCAGAGUAAAACAAUUUCUCCUAGCUGCCAUCCCUAGAGUUUGGAGCUUUUUUAGUUCUCAGCUCCGGAAUUUUAUAGCUCACCGGAGGGUUAACUACAAUUUCUUAAUAAUUAUAUCAUCUCCUUGCCCCUGGAUAUGAGAAAACACUAGAUGGCAAGAAUUUCUAAAUCAAAUUUUAGAUUCACAUUUACUAGUUCUAACAAAUAAUACUAUAAAAAACUAAAAUUCACAAAAGAAUAUACUAUGAAUACCCAGAGAAACCAAUGUACAACACAUCUAUUCAAGGCAUGCCUGUAGUCUGACAGAAUGUAAAGUCGAGCAAGCAGCAUCGGGCAAUAAUGUUUGGAUCCUGCAAGUAAAUAGUUGUUAGUAAACUAUCAGAAAGCAGAACCAAUUAGUCUCGUUAGUCCAUGUGCUUGGGCUCCUGGUUUUUGCUAAUACCAUUCUAUAAAGGAUCAUUUAAUUCUGACAUUAACCAACCCGCACCAAAGCUCCACAUCACCAUAAACAUCACUUUUAUUGCCAUGAACAUUUAAAUCACUUGAUAGUAAACGUAGUCAAAGACAAUAAUAUGGAACAAGGCCACAGAGGUUCUAUUUCCUCAAUCAUCCAAUGUGAGAAAUCUUCAUUAGCAAAAGCAAAUUGGUCUCAUACUCUCGAGAAUAAAUGCUCGAUGCACAUUUCAUGUAACAAUUACAAAUAAGGGAAGUUACUUUGCCUAGCAUGAUAUGAUCCAAUUUCCUCUGGUAAAUCAGUAGCCAUAUCAAACUUCCUAUUUACAUAGAGUUUGAUGCUAUAUAAAUUGCNN